UACGGGGGGGGCAAGCGUUGUUCGGAAUUACUGGGCGUAAAGGGCUCGUAGGCGGCCAACUAAGUCGGAUGUGAAAUCCCCAGGCUCAACCUGGGAACUGCAUCCGAUACUGGAUGGCUUGAAUCCGGGAGAGGGAUGCAGAAUUCCAGGUGUAGCGGUGAAAUGCGUAGAUAUCUGGAGGAACACCGGUGGCGAAGGCGGCAUCCUGGACCGGCAUUGACGCUGAGGAGCGAAAGCCAGGGGAGCAAACGGG
rnacentral:rRNA from 1 species